CCCUGCUCAAUGAUUAUUAAAUAGCCGCAGUACCUUGACUGUGCAAAGGUAGCAUAAUCAUUUGGCUUAUAAUUGAAGUCUGGUAUGAAUGGGUGAAUGGAUAAUAACUAUCUUUCCAUAAUAAACUGAAUUUACUUAUUAAGUGAAAAUUCUUAUUUAAAAACAAUAGACGAGAAGACCCUAGAAAUUUUUUAAAUAUAUAUUUAGAUAUUCUAUUUUGUUGGGGCGACAAGGUAGCAAUAAACCUACCUAUAAAAUAUAAAAAAUUAAUGAGGUAAAUAAUUAAAUUACUCUAGGGAUAACAGCAUAAUAUAUAAGAGUUUGUGACCUCGAUGUUGGACUAGGUAAAUUGAUGUUUAAAAGAUAUUAG
rnacentral:rRNA from 1 species